rnacentral:tRNA from 1 species
GCUGGCGUAGAACCGUUGCCCUCCGAAGGCAAAGGCCAGGGGUUCGAAUCCCUUCGGGCGCG